AUUGAACGCUGGCGGCAUGCCUUACACAUGCAAGUCGAACGGUAACGGGCCUUCGGGUGCCGACGAGUGGCGAACGGGUGAGUAAUACAUCGGAACGUGCCCGAUCGUGGGGGAUAACGAGGCGAAAGCUUUGCUAAUACCGCAUACGAUCUACGGAUGAAAGCAGGGGACGGCAAGGCCUGGCGCGGAGGGAGCGGCCGAUGGCAGAUUAGGUAGUUGGUGGGAUAAAGGCUUACCAAGCCGACGAUCUGUAGUUGGUCUGAGAGGAUGAUCAGCCACACUGGGACUGAGACACGGCCCAGACUCCUACGGGAGGCAGCAGUGGGGAAUUUUGGACAAUGGGCGCAAGCCUGAUCCAGCCAUGCCGCGUGCAGGAUGAAGGCCUUCGGGUUGUAAACUGCUUUUGUACGGAACGAAAAGCCUUCUUUUAAUACAGGAGGGUCAUGACGGUACCGUAAGAAUAAGCACCGGCUAACUACGUG
rnacentral:rRNA from 1 species